rnacentral:rRNA from 1 species
UAGGCGUACGGGUGAGUAACACGUGGAUUAUCUACCUCUUAGUGGGGAAUAACUCUGGGAAACCGGAGCUAAUACCGCAUAAGCCUGGAAGGGAAAGCAGCAAUGCGCUGAGAGAGGAGUCCGCGGCCGAUUAGCUAGUUGGCAGGGUAAAAGCCUACCAAGGCAUUGAUCGGUAGCCGGCCUGAGAGGGCACACGGCCACACUGGCACUGAAACACGGGCCAG